CAUAGCUACGCAAGCCCAGGGAGGGUCUGGACAUCCAGUCUCCCCAGUCGGUCAUUGUGAAGGGACUCUACCCAAGUAAACCUUAUUCUGUGUGCAUAGAUGACUGAAACGAUAUCUACCGAAGUUAGCACGCUAACCGGCUAGCCCAGCACGCCCCGUCUCAUAAUACCACUUUGUACCUCAAGGGGCGACAGUGAGUCACUGUAUCAUCCAGUCUGCCCUCGGUCCAACAUACCACACACACCCACACCCCCCUGCAUUGUGACAGGCAGAUGGAUAAGACUGAAAGAAAUCUGGACUGACGUUGCUCCCUUCAGUCUUCCUGGACUGUCAUAGAAGAGACGUGAGAUUCUCCGAGGAA